UUUACUAAAUUGUUAGUUGCGACAUGUCUUAACUUAUAAAUUUUGGUUGCGAGGGUGCGUAAACAAUAAAAGGGAGUUUUUGCCCCUCUUAUAUUUAGAAUUAUGCGUAAAGUGAUAUUACUCAUGAACCAUACAUAAUACAGACCUAGGGUCUUUUGAUUUGGGAUCCUAUGUUUAUGACCUUGAAAUUGAGGUCAAGGUCAUAGGUUAAUUGGACGUUCUAAAUUUUGACCUUUGCUCGAAAUUCAUAUUUAUACAUCAUAAAGCCAUAGGAACUGACAUUUUCAACUGAAUCUUAAUAUUUUCAUAUCAAAAUACAUCCUUAUUGGUUGAAAGACCUUCAAUUGUUCUUUGAACAAUUGGUUUUUAAUU
rnacentral:lncRNA from 1 species